rnacentral:rRNA from 1 species
CGUGCCGUAGCUAACGCAUUAAGUACCCCGCCUGGUGAGUACGGCCGCAAGGCUAAAACUCAAAGAAAUUGACGGGGGCCCGCACAAGCGGCGGAGCAUGUGGAUUAAUUCGAUGCAACGCGAAGAACCUUACCUGGGUUUGACAUGCACAGGACGCCGGCAGAGAUGUCGGUUCCCUUGUGGCCUGUGUGCAGGUGGUGCAUGGCUGUCGUCAGCUCGUGUCGUGAGAUGUUGGGUUAAGUCCCGCAACGAGCGCAACCCUUGUCUCAUGUUGCCAGCGGGUAAUGCCGGGGACUCGUGAGAGACUGCCGGGGUCAACUCGGAGGAAGGUGGGGAUGACGUCAAGUCAUCAUGCCCCUUAUGUCCAGGGCUUCACACAUGCUACAAUGGCCGGUACAAAGGGCUGCGAUGCCGCGAGGUUAAGCGAAUCCUUUUAAAGCCGGCCUCAGUUCGGAUCGGGGUCUGCAACUCGACCCCGUGAAGUCGGAGUCGCUAGUAAUCGCAGAUCAGCAACGCUGCGGUGAUACGUUCCCGGGCUUUGCACACACCGCCCG